GACGAACGCUGGCGGCGUGCUUAACACAUGCAAGUCGAACGGGUCUGCCCUGUUUUUUGCGGGGUGGGUCAGUGGCGAACGGGUGAGUAACACGUGAGUAACCUGCCCCUCACUUCUGGAUAACCGCUUGAAAGGGUGGCUAAUACGGGGUGUUCUGGCUGUGCCGCAUGGUGUGGCUGGGAAAGAUUCACUUUUGUGGUGUUUUGGUGGGGGAUGGACUCGCGGCCUAUCAGCUUGUUGGUGGGGUGAUGGCCUGCCAAGGCUUUGACGGGUAGCCGGCCUGAGAGGGUGGGCGGUCACACUGGGACUGAGAUACGGCCCAGACUCCUGCGGGAGGCAGCAGUGGGGGGUAUUGCACAAUGGGCGGAAGCCUGAUGCAGCGACGUCGCGUGAGGGAUGGAGGCCUUCGGGUUGUGAACCUCUUUCGCCGGUGAAGAAGGUCCUGCUCUUUGUGGUGGGGUUGACGGUAGCCGGGUUAUGAAGCGCCGGCUAACUACGUG
rnacentral:rRNA from 1 species